AAUAGAUACCCCGGUAGUCCACGCCGUAAACGAUGAGUGCUAAGUGUUAGGGGGUUUCCGCCCCUUAGUGCUGCAGCUAACGCAUUAAGCACUCCGCCUGGGGAGUACGGUCGCAAGACUGAAACUCAAAGGAAUUGACGGGGGCCCGCACAAGCGGUGGAGCAUGUGGUUUAAUUCGAAGCAACGCGAAGAACCUUACCAGGUCUUGACAUCCCGCUGACCGCUAUGGAGACAUAGUUUUCCCUUCGGGGACAGCGGUGACAGGUGGUGCAUGGUUGUCGUCAGCUCGUGUCGUGAGAUGUUGGGUUAAGUCCCGCAACGAGCGCAACCCUUGUUCUUAGUUGCCAUCAUUUAGUUGGGCACUCUAAGGAGACUGCCGGUGACAAACCGGAGGAAGGUGGGGAUGACGUCAAAUCAUCAUGCCCCUUAUGACCUGGGCUACACACGUGCUACAAUGGACGGUACAAACGGUCGCGAAGUCGCGAGACGGAGCCAAUCCGAUAAAACCGUUCUCAGUUCGGAUUGUAGGCCGCAACUCGCCUAC
rnacentral:rRNA from 1 species